CGGGGGGCGUGGUCACCGGGGGGCGUGGUCACCGGGGCCUGCGGUGCAUGCCGGGAUGGGGCAUCGGGCUCCUGAGUGACUCCUGGGUCGAGUCUGCGCCAAGUUUGGGUCUCUGGGUUGGGUUCUCUCCUGGGCUUUCCGGAAGGCUGUAAGCUGAUAGGUUAGAGUACUGAGUUCUUGCCAUGGGAAUGAUGUAGUUCAAAUCACGUGACUGUUUAAUUCCUUUUCAAGGGUUCCAUGUGGCCCUGAUAAUGGAGCUUGAAGAUCUGAUGAGUGAGGACAUUUAAAAAAAUUCACUUUAGGGCCUGGGAUUUAGCUCAGUGGUUUUGUCCCCUGCUGCGCAAGCGCAAGGACCCGAGUUCGAUCCCCGGUACAAAAAAAAAAAAAAAAUUCACUUUAGACAUACUAACAUUUUCUCUGUGGAAAGAACAUCCGUAGGAAGUCCUGCUCAUAGGUUUUUUCGUUGGCACUUAGUGGCGCUUCGUUUAUUUGGUCACUGAGUUAUUUGUUGAUGUUGCAUGAGGCCGUAUAGACUCCAGCUGCCUAGGUUUGCAUCUCAGGCCUGCACCGCAGUACGCAGUUGUCGACCUCAGGGAUGCUGUUUGGUCCAUCAGUACUUCUGUUUACUUAUCUGUAAAACGGGAUAGAAACAGUACUGACCUCAAGGGUUAUUGUGAGAAUUGUUAAUGUUACGUGUCUGUCGCACCGUAAUAUUGAGCUUUCAUUGUUGAUUAUUCAGUAUGUACGGAAUACAGACGACGCAGUCACUGAGGCUACAGUGAAGAACAGACCAAACUUGGGAGCGGGUUAAGGAGGGGAAUGGGAAGAGAGGUAGAGUGUCUAAUUAGCGUAACACUUUAACAGCUACAUUUAUUUAGACCACCAUGUUCAAAAUACACAGCAUUUCAUAUAUAAAAUAUCCACUCACUUUUGUAUCAGAUUUCUUUGAUACUGAAAUAGGUUUAUUGAUAUUGAAAGAUUCACUGUUGCAUCCAAGAAGCAGUUUCUAGGGGCUGGGGAUUGAGCUCAGUGGUUCUGGCACCUGCCUCGCAAGCACAAGGUCCCGAGUUCGAUCCCGGUACAAAAAAAAAAAAAGCAGUUUUUUAAAAAUGUGAUUUAAUAUACAUACACAUUUCACAAGUACAGGAUUAUGAGUGAUUUUUAUAUUUCAUUUCCUUCGAUACAUUUUAUAUUUUCUUCUACAAUGAACUUCUAAAACAUAAUAAAAACGAGCAUUCAUGACACUGCUGCUUAAAACCCUUCAAAUGCUCGCCCGGCAUUUGGGUUUUCGCCCAAAUUCUUUAGCUCUUCAAGACCCUUCAUAUGGUCCUGGUCUCUCUGUAUCCUACCACCCAUAUCUCACACAAAAAGGCCCCUGAGGACCCAUGAUUUUUUAUAACUGAGCUCCCUCUCCCGAUACGUCCCCAUCAACCGCUCCCAGUGCCGGCAGCAAUGUCUUCAGCCUGGCCCAGGAAGCUAUGAGGCCCCAGUUCUUCCUAAAGCAGCCACAGCAGGCCGCGGGCGGGAGGACCAGGAUCCGCUGGAAGGGGUGGCUCACUGAGACUCUGGAGACAUGGAUCCACCGCGUGACCACUCCAGGAGCCUGACCACCGAGACAGACAGGGAAUCCCGGACCACGAGCAGGGGCUGGGCCAAGCGAUGGAGCUUGCAGCUCUCUUGUAAAAGAAGAGCCAGAAAGCUAUUUAGCUUUCUGUCCACAAUGUAAGACUACAAGAAGACAGUCACACAGCACAUCAGAAGCAGGCUUUCAUCAGAUACUGGACCUGUCAGUACCUUAAUCUUGGGCCUACAGACUCCAGAACUCUGAGAAAUAAAAGUUUGUUGUGCCGUCAAAGCUUCUCUUGGACUUCAAGGAAAGAAAUGUAUCCAUUACUUGAAAUGGUUAUCUCCAGGUGCUGCAGUUGCAAGAGGAUAGAAACUGUGUUGGGCAAGUAGUGUAUCAAUGAACUGCAUCCCUAGUCCUUUGAGGUAGGUGCUUGCUAAAUUGCCCAGGAUGGCCUUGAACUUGUGAUUCUCCUGCCACACCCCUUCUGUGUAGCUGGGAUUAUAGGUGUAUACCACCUUGCUUGGCUCUAAGUACCUUUGAGACUUUGUUAAUCCUUAUAGUAACCUUUUGGAGUUGGUACUAUUAUCCCCAUCUCUCUGGGGAAACUGAGGUAUAAACUUGCUCAGGGUCAUUCAGCUACUGAGUGGGAGAGCUGGAAUUUGAGCCUGUUAUCUGACUCCACAGUCCUAGGCUCAUCACUACUGUCCUUUCAUACUAAUGGAGUUGACUAUCCCUGCACCUAAGACCACUGUUCUGAGAAAGUCAGGGAGAGUGCCUUUGGCCCUUUGAUAAGUCUGGGUAAGUAAUAUUCCAUUUGUUUCAGUAGCUUUGAGAAGAAUUAUCUGUUAAGUGCUUGACUGCUCAGAAUCUGUACCAAAUACUUCCCGAGUUUGGAUACAUUUAGAAUGUAAGGAGUGCCGAUCUCAGGUGCAUUUGGGUUAACUGUCCAUGUAAAGCUUACCAAAA